UACGUAGGGGGCAAGCGUUGUCCGGAUUUAUUGGGCGUAAAGAGCGUGUAGGCGGCCAGGUAGGUCUGCUGUGAAAACUCGAGGCUCAACCUCGAGAUGUCGGCGGAAACCAUCUGGCUAGAGUCCGGAAGAGGAGAAUGGAAUUCCUGGUGUAGCGGUGAAAUGCGCAGAUAUCAGGAGGAACACCAAUUGCGAAGGCAGCUCGCUGGGACGUUUACUGACGCUGAGGCGCGAAAGCCAGGGGGAGCGAACGGGG
rnacentral:rRNA from 1 species